GGCGAACGGGUGAGUAACACGUGGGUGAUCUGCCUUGCACUCUGGGAUAAGCUUGGGAAACUGGGUCUAAUACCGGAUAGGACCAUGCUUUAGUGUGUGUGGUGGAAAGUUUUUCGGUGCAAGAUGAGCCCGCGGCCUAUCAGCUUGUUGGUGGGGUAAUGGCCUACCAAGGCGACGACGGGUAGCCGGCCUGAGAGGGUGUACGGCCACAUUGGGACUGAGACACGGCCCAG
rnacentral:rRNA from 1 species